CACGUAGGGUGCGAGCGUUGUCCGGAAUUAUUGGGCGUAAAGGGCUCGUAGGCGGUUUGUCGCGUCGGGAGUGAAAACCUUGGGCUUAACUCAGGGCUUGCUUUCGAUACGGGCAGACUAGAGGUAUGCAGGGGAGAAUGGAAUUCCCGGUGUAGCGGUGAAAUGCGCAGAUAUCGGGAGGAACACCGGUGGCGAAGGCGGUUCUCUGGGCCUUACCUGACGCUGAGGAGCGAAAGCGUGGGGAGCGAACAGG
rnacentral:rRNA from 1 species